rnacentral:rRNA from 1 species
GACGAACGCUGGCGGCGUGCUUAACACAUGCAAGUCGAACGAAGAGCGAUGGAAGCUUGCUUCUAUCAAUCUUAGUGGCGAACGGGUGAGUAACGCGUAAUCAACCUGCCCUUCAGAGGGGGACAACAGUUGGAAACGACUGCUAAUACCGCAUACGAUCUAAUCUCGGCAUCGAGGAUAGAUGAAAGGUGGCCUCUACAUGUAAGCUAUCACUGAAGGAGGGGAUUGCGUCUGAUUAGCUAGUUGGAGGGGUAACGGCCCACCAAGGCGAAGAUCAGUAGCCGGUCUGAGAGGAUGAACGGCCACAUUGGGACUGAGACACGGCCCAGACUCCUACGGGAGGCAGCAGUGGGGAAUCUUCCGCAAUGGACGAAAGUCUGACGGAGCAACGCCGCGUGAGUGAUGACGGCCUUCGGGUUGUAAAGCUCUGUUAAUCGGGACGAAAGGCCUUCUUGCGAAUAGUGAGAAGGAUUGACGGUACCGGAAUAGAAAGCCACGGCUAACUACGUG